rnacentral:rRNA from 1 species
UACGUAGGUGGCAAGCGUUGUCCGGAAUUAUUGGGCGUAAAGCGCGCGCAGGCGGCCUCUUAAGUCUGAUGUGAGAGCCCCCGGCUCAACCGGGGAGGGCCAUUGGAAACUGGGAGGCUUGAGUAUAGGAGAGAAGAGUGGAAUUCCACGUGUAGCGGUGAAAUGCGUAGAGAUGUGGAGGAACACCAGUGGCGAAGGCGACUCUUUGGCCUAUAACUGACGCUGAGGCGCGAAAGCGUGGGGAGCAAACAGG